UACGAAGGGGGCUAGCGUUGCUCGGAAUCACUGGGCGUAAAGCGCACGUAGGCGGAUUGUUAAGUCAGGGGUGAAAUCCUGGAGCUCAACUCCAGAACUGCCUUUGAUACUGGCGAUCUCGAGUCCGGGAGAGGUGAGUGGAACUGCGAGUGUAGAGGUGAAAAUUCGUAGAUAUUCGGCAAAGAACACCAGUGGCGAAGGCGGCUCAC
rnacentral:rRNA from 1 species